rnacentral:rRNA from 1 species
AAGUCGAGCGACAGAUAAGGAGCUUGCUCCUUUGACGUUAGCGGCGGACGGGUGAGUAACACGUGGAUAACCUACCUAUAAGACUGGGAUAACUUCGGGAAACCGGAGCUAAUACCGGAUAACAUAUUGAACCGCAUGGUUCAAUAGUGAAAGGCGGCUUUGCUGUCACUUAUAGAUGGAUCCGCGCCGUAUUAGCUAGUUGGUAAGGUAACGGCUUACCAAGGCAACGAUACGUAGCCGACCUGAGAGGGUGAUCGGCCACACUGGAACUGAGACACGGUCCAGACUCCUACGGGAGGCAGCAGUAGGGAAUCUUCCGCAAUGGGCGAAAGCCUGACGGAGCAACGCCGCGUGAGUGAUGAAGGUCUUCGGAUCGUAAAACUCUGUUAUCAGGGAAGAACAAAUGUGUAAGUAACUGUGCACAUCUUGACGGUACCUGAUCAGAAAGCCACGGCUAACUACGUGCCAGCAGCCGCGGUAAUACGUAGGUGGCAAGCGUUAUCCGGAAUUAUUGGGCGUAAAGCGCGCGUAGGCGGUUUUUUAAGUCUGAUGUGAAAGCCCACGGCUCAACCGUGGAGGGUCAUUGGAAACUGGAAAACUUGAGUGCAGAAGAGGAAAGUGGAAUUCCAUGUGUAGCGGUGAAAUGCGCAGAGAUAUGGAGGAACACCAGUGGCGAAGGCGACUUUCUGGUCUGUAACUGACGCUGAUGUGCGAAAGCGUGGGGAUCAAACAGGAUUAGAUACCCUGGUAGUCCACGCCGUAAACGAUGAGUGCUAAGUGUUAGGGGGUUUCCGCCCCUUAGUGCUGCAGCUAACGCAUUAAGCACUCCGCCUGGGGAGUACGACCGCAAGGUUGAAACUCAAAGGAAUUGACGGGGACCCGCACAAGCGGUGGAGCAUGUGGUUUAAUUCGAAGCAACACGAAGAACCUUACCUAAUCUUGACAUCCUUUGACUGCUCUAGAGAUAGAGUCUUCCCCUUCGCGGGACAAAGUGACAGGUGGUGCAUGGUUGUCGGCACGUCGUGUCCA